UAGGGAAUCUUCCACAAUGGACGCAAGUCUGAUGGAGCAACGCCGCGUGAGUGAAGAAGGCUUUCGGGUCGUAAAACUCUGUUAUUGAAGAAGAACGUGCGUGACAGUAACUGGUCAUGCAGUGACGGUAUUCAAUCAGAAAGUCACGGCUAACUACGUGCCAGCAGCCGCGGUAAUACGUAGGUGGCAAGCGUUGUCCGGAUUUAUUGGGCGUAAAGCGAGUGCAGGCGGUCUUUUAAGUCUGAUGUGAAAGCCUUCGGCUUAACCGAAGAAGGGCAUCGGAAACUGGGAGACUUGAGUGCAGAAGAGGAGAGUGGAACUCCAUGUGUAGCGGUGAAAUGCGUAGAUAUAUGGAAGAACACCAGUGGCGAAGGNGGCUCUCUGGUCUGUAACUGACGCUGAGGCUCGAAAAGCGUGGGUAGCAAACAGGAUUAGAUACCCUGGUAGUCCACGCCGUAAACGAUGAAU
rnacentral:rRNA from 1 species